rnacentral:snoRNA from 1 species
AGACCACGAUGAGGGUAGCGUUGGAGCAAAUACGUGUAUCUCUCCCAAGCCUCAUACAAUGACUCAAAAUCAAGUGGCAUGAAUGAUGUGAUAUCAUUCCUCAUUUU